ACACGUAAAAACUGUCAACAUAUCCACGCGCGCAUCCAGCUCAGGCUGUCUGUUAUACUCUGAUUUAAGAUCUAAAAUAUAUUCCUUAAUACAGGCUACGAUUUGAAAAUGGCAUCAGUGUAAUAUCAGUGGCUAGAAUAUCAUGGUGCAAGCAGGUUUCUG